UACGUAGGGGGCUAGCGUUGUCCGGAAUCAUUGGGCGUAAAGAGCGUGUAGGCGGCUCGGUAAGUCCGCUGUGAAAGUCCAGGGCUCAACCCUGGAAUGCCAGUGGAAACUGUUGAGCUAGAGUCCGGAAGAGGCGAGUGGAAUUCCCGGUGUAGCGGUGAAAUGCGGCAGAUAUCGGGAAGAACACCCGUGGCGAAGGCGGCGACUCUCGGGACGG
rnacentral:rRNA from 1 species